UGUUAUCUUACAUAAUCAAAACUUCCUGGAUUAGAAACCAUUGGUGCAAUAUCAAUAUGUAUUUAUUUUGCAAUGCAUUACUUGUUAUUGAAUUCAUUUCCUUUUUUUCUUCUCUUUCUUAUAUCAAAGGUCGGGAAAUCUGCAUUCUGAACAGAACGCUUACAGGGUCUGUCUCCUGUUGUACUAAUUAUUACAAAGACGAAGAUGGAAACUGUAAUUUAUGUGCGCCAGGAUACUUUGGGGAUACAUGUUUCAAUAUUUGUCCACGUGGUACAUUUGGUGCGGGCUGUGCAGAAAAGUGUACUUGUUCCCUCGAGGAUUGUAACCACGUGACAGGGUGUACCCGUAUAA